AUGCAUGCAAAGGUUCUGGCAAAAAGCCAUCUACGCAUGUGUUUUUCCACUCCAUAUCACCGAAAAGCAACGGUAUCUUUCUGGUGCCACCAUCAACAGGUAAUUGUUAGUUCUGUUGCCUCCAAUCUUAGUAGCAGUUGUCUCUCUGCAUCUCAGUCAAAUUGUACGCUUUCAACAUUCUCAAGCAUUCGGCCAAAGUGGAGAUCAAUAUAUCAACUAGCAUAA
rnacentral:rRNA from 1 species